rnacentral:tRNA from 1 species
GCCAGCAUGGCAUAGUGGUUUGAGUGUUGGACUAUGACUCUGGAUACCAGGGUUCAAAUCCCAGCAUGACC